UUGAUAUUGAAACUGCUCUUGUAAUGGCACAGUUAGAAUGUGGAAUAAAUCACCGUUUGAUCUCUGAUGCGAGAAGGUUGCUUCCUUUAUAAGUCAAGUUGCUAAGGCUUUAGCUGAAGCUCCAUACAAGCGAGAAAAAGAAGAUGCCACCUUUCUUGGUUUGCUGAAGGAAGCAGCAUAAACACCGUUAAAGUGGAUAAGGCAGGUGUUGGAUUGUUAAAGCUCUGGCGACAACAGCUGCAGCAGUCCAUCAAUGUAGGCAAUGAGGUUGCACAGGCAAUUGUGAGGGAAUAUCCAUCACCUCAAGCUCUGGUUCAAGCUUACAGGCAUUCUACUUCAGAAAAAGAAGCAUCCCACUUGCUUGCUGAUAUUCCUGUGAGACGAGGCAUAGGGCCACUUGAAUCUACUCGACGUAUAGGACCAGAGCUGUCAAAGAAGAUACAUUUAUUUUUUACUUGUACAGAUCCCAGUGUGAACUUAGGACAGAAAACAUGAUUUAUGUAAGAAGCAAUUAGUGUGAUUAUCACUUCUUAAUACUUAAUUUCUGUAGUAUGUUGUUUCCUUUGGUUAGGUUUCCAAAUGUUUUUAUACUAGGUUAAACUGACAGUAUGAUUUCAUGUACAGAUAUAUGUUUUUCAUUUUUAAUUAGGGAAUAAUAAUAUUUUAUAUCCGUUCAUAUCAUAUAUUUACCCUUAGAUGAAAAGAACCCUACCUGUAUGCG